rnacentral:tRNA from 1 species
GGAGAGAUGGCUGAGCUUGGUUGAAAGCGCUCGACUCGAAAUCGAGUAAGGAGAUUAAAAGUCUUCUUCGUGGGUUCGAAUCCCACUCUCUCCG